rnacentral:lncRNA from 1 species
CUUCAGGUAUGGAAUAAAUAAAAAGAAUGAAACAUUACUAAGACAAAGAUGCUACUUGUACAUUAAAUAAAUCAGUAGGAAAUAGACAAUGAAGCAGCAGUGUUUUCUAAUUAAAAAAUUCAUUCCAGUCAAGUUGCCUGUCAGCGAGGGAACCAUCAAAUCUAACCUGUUGCUGUACUUUUCCUCUAACGUAAUUUAUUCCAAGUUCAUUUGACCUGGACAAAAAUGUUCCUGUAAAGAGGUGAUGGAGAGAGGGCUGUGUGGCCAUACACAAGGAGAAACAACACAAGAGAGGUCUAAAUGAGAGAAACCAACAAUACAAGCAUUGGAAGCAAACGUAAGUGAUGUCCUCUUUAACUAUGGGGCAAGGAAAAGCUUUCUAAUUAUGUCUUGAAAUUCAGAGGUAAUAAAACCUGAAUGCGUUUGACUACAUAACAAAACAAUUUGCAUGACCACAGAACAUAAAAUCAUACAUAAACAACAGGUGGAAGCAUUAUGAAAAGAUGAAGACUGGAAUAAUUUGAGCAAUAAAAUAAAUGACCGUAUAAGAUAAUAACCCAUAAUUUCAUAUUGAUACAAAUAUAUGAUAGGGGAGA